UACGUAGGGCGCAAGCGUUAUCCGGAAUUAUUGGGCGUAAAGAGCUCGUAGGCGGUUUGUCGCGUCUGCUGUGAAAACUCAGGGCUUAACCCUGAGCCUGCAGUGGGUACGGGCAGACUAGAGUGCGGUAGGGGAGAUUGGAAUUCCUGGUGUAGCGGUGGAAUGCGCAGAUAUCAGGAGGAACACCGGUGGCGAAGGCGGGUCUCUGGGCCGAUACUGACGCUGAGGAGCGAAAGCGUGGGGAGCGAACAGG
rnacentral:rRNA from 1 species